UUUGUCUCAAUGAUCUAUUAAUGCACUCAAACCACACUAAAUUAGCUUUGUCAUCUGGUCCAGGUUAGGCUGGGCAAUUCUGCUGGUUUCAUUUAGGCUCACCCAGGCAGCUGAAGACACCUUGGUGCAGCAUGGUCUAAGUUGGCCUUGCCUGGCCUGGGGUAGCUGCCGUUGGCUGAGCCGUACAUCUCCAGCAGGCUAGCCUGGGCUCCUCCAUUGGAUGCAGCCUUCCCAGAGCAAGCCACAUGUGCAACCGCUUCCCAAGCCGCUGCUUACAUUGCAUUUGCUGCUGUCCCAUUGGCUAAAGCGGGUCAUGUGACCAAGCCGGCGGCCAAUGUAGGAGAGGAUUACACAAGAGGGGUGUGGCUCCUGGGCACUCAUGGCUGUACCAACCUACGACCAAUUCCCCUGAGCGCCAGGCUGUUUCCUGCCUCUGCACCAUCGCCCAAGCUUUCCCCUUCGCUUGUUAUGCCCUGCUGGGCGAUCUCCUACUCGGGCAAGUCACAAGCUUCUCUGUGUCUCAGCCUCCUCCUCUGUAAAAUGGGGAUCACAUGAGUUUAAGUUAUUCUGAGGAUUAAACAAGUUAACACACAAACAUUUAAAACAGUGUCUAGCACGCAGUAGGUCCUCCAGAGAUGCCAGCCAUCACCAUCACAGUGGUGAUUCUUGGUAUGACGACCCCUGCCCUCUUCAAAGCCCCGUUUAAGGAAUCUCCUCUCUGAAGCUGUCUCUGGUUCUCUCCAGGCAAGCAUCCUCCCCCAGGCCUGGCCCUAUAAUUAUCUUUUCCUCAUCCACCUACUCCAUCUACAGUAGGAUCCAGAGGGAAGGGAAUCCCAGGGCCCAGCCCAGGGAGUGCGAACUAUCUGAUUUCCUCUGCAAUUAGGGAGGCAAGACAGUCCUCGGUGGCCCCAUUUGACAGAGGUGAAAACUGCCGCUGUAGGAGAUGUGCUGAUUUGCCCGGGGUUGCGCAGCUGGUAGGUGGGUGAGCUGGGAGUGGAGCCAGGUUGGGCUGUAGCAGCUGUGUUUGCCCUGCCUCACUGUCCAGCUCCCACCUGGGCCGGGUGUCGGGGUCUCAAAGAGAAGGCAGAUACCGGCUCUGCCGCACAGAGCUCACAGUUUGGUGGAGGAGGAAGGCUCAAGCAGAGAGCAGGAGGUGUGAGUAGCUCUGUGGGCUGUGGGGGCCAGAUGGGUCCUCGACCCUGCGGGGUCAGAGCUGGCUGCCCAGAAGACAUGAAAUGGAAUAAGCAGAGUGACAUGCUCUGGGCCACAAACAGGGUGUGUGGCCGCCCUGAACACAUCACUGCAGCCACCUCCACAGCCACAGCCCUAGCCCUGUGGGUCAUGGGGAUGUGACCCUCCCCACUACCUCCCAUCACUGAGGACACACCUCCUGGGCCUCCAGUAACUACCCAGGCCUCCACACCUGCUACACCAUGAUGGUGCAGCCCGCCUCCCCAACGCCUUCAGCCCUGUGGAAAUUUUCUCUGGAGAUUCUAAUACCCCGGCCUCCUUGAGGUCAGUGUCUGCCCAGAGCCUCCCGGCAGGAGAGAAGAAACCCCACAGCUCUUUAGGGAAUGCCUGCCUGUCCAAAUGGACAAAGACAAGCUGUGCAGAAACCUCCCCUGGGAGGACUGAGCCAUCACCUGAGGAAUGGGAGUCUGUGGAAACGUGAGUCACCUCUGUGGGAAUAAAGCCUUUCAUCUGGACAUCGAAAUGGCCACCAGCUCCCUGAGUGACUUUGGGCAAGUCAUGCCCCACUCCAAGCCUCAGAAAGCCGACCUGUGAGAUGAGGAUGAAAGUAACCCCCUCAUGGGCCUGCCAUCCCACCACCAUGGCGCACUCCACCUGAAUGACCUUGAGGACUGUGACCGUUGCUGUGUGCAUCUGUGCUGCUUCCCGUUUCAUUGCUGAGUGGUGUUCCUGUAAAUGGAUAUGCCACUGUCUGCUUCUUCACUCACCAGCCCCAGGCACCCCGCCAUUCUACCGACUGUCUCUAUGAAUGUGACUACCAGGAUCAAGGAACUUCAUACCAGUUGAACCAUACAGUAUUUGUCCUUUUGUGACUGGCUUAUUUCACUGAACAUAAUAGCCUGAAGGUUUAUCCAUGUUGUAUGAUGUGUCAGAAUUUCCUUCCUUUUUAAGGCUAAAUAAUAUUCUAUUGUGUGCAGAGAUCAAUUGUCUUUAUCCAUUCAUCUGUUAAUGAACACUUGGGUUGGUUCCACCUUUUGGUUAUUAUGAAUAGUACUGUGAUGAACAUGAGUGCAAAUAUAUCUGUUUGAAUUCCAAAAAAAAAAAAAAAAAAAAAAAAA
rnacentral:lncRNA from 1 species